rnacentral:rRNA from 1 species
AACGAACGCUGGCGGCAUGCCUAACACAUGCAAGUCGAACGAGACCUUCGGGUCUAGUGGCGCACGGGUGCGUAACGCGUGGGAAUCUGCCCUUGGGUUCGGGAUAACAGUUGGAAACGACUGCUAAUACCGGAUGAUGACUUCGGUCCAAAGAUUUAUCGCCCAAGGAUGAGCCCGCGUAGGAUUAGCUUGUUGGUGAG